rnacentral:tRNA from 1 species
UAAGAUGGCUGAAGUAAGCGGUGGAUUGUAGCUCCACAGAUAGAGGUGAAGCCCUCUUUUUAC